rnacentral:tRNA from 1 species
GCAGAUAUGGCCGAGUGGUUAAGUCGACUGACUCGAAAUCAGUUUCCAUCUUGGAGCGUAGUUUCGAAUCCUACUAUCUGCG